CUCUCCCAGAAAGAACUCUAGAGUCCUUCUUUCUUGCCGAUGAAGAUUGUAUGCAGGCCCAAUCUAUAGAAACAUAUUCUACUAGCUAUCCUGACACCAUGGAAAAUUCAACAUCUUCAAAACAGACACUGAAGACUCCUGGAAAAAGUUUCACAAGGAGUAAGAGUUUGAAAAUUUUGCGAAACAUGAAAAAGAGUAUCUGUAAUUCUUGCCCACCAAACAAGCCUGCAGAAUCUGUUCAGUCAAAUAACUCCAGCUCAUUUCUGAAUUUUGGUUUUGCAAACCGUUUUUCAAAACCCAAAGGACCAAGGAAUCCACCACCAACUUGGAAUAUUUAAUAAAACUCCAGAUUUAUAAUAAUAUGGGCUGCAAGUACACCUGCAAAUAAAACUACUAGAAUACUGCUAGUUAAAAUAAGUGCUCUAUAUGCAUAAUAUCAAAUAUGAAGAUAUGCUAAUGUGUUAAUAGCUUUUAAAAGAAAAGCAAAAUGCCAAUAAGUGCCAGUUUUGCAUUUUCAUAUCAUUUGCAUUGAGUUGAAAACUGCAAAUAAAAGUUUGUCACUUGAGCUUAUGUACAGAAUGCUAUAUGAGAAACACUUUUAGAAUGGAUUUAUUUUUCAUUUUUGCCAGUUAUUUUUAUUUUCUUUUACUUUUCUACAUAAACAUAAACUUCAAAAGGUUUGUAAGAUUUGGAUCUCAACUAAUUUCUACAUUGCCAGAAUAUACUAUAAAAAGUUAAAAAAAAAACUUACUUUGUGGGUUGCAAUACAAACUGCUCUUGACAAUGACUAUUCCCUGACAGUUAUUUUUGCCUAAAUGGAGUAUACCUUGUAAAUCUUCCCAAAUGUUGUGGAAAACUGGAAUAUUAAGAAAAUGAGAAAUUAUAUUUAUUAGAAUAAAAUGUGCAAAUAAUGACAAUUAUUUGAAUGUAACAAGGAAUUCAACUGAAAUCCUGAUAAGUUUUAACCAAAGUCAUUAAAUUACCAAUUCUAGAAAAGUAAUCAAUGAAAUAUAAUAGCUAUCUUUUGGUAGCAAAAGAUAUAAAUUGUAUAUGUUUAUACAGGAUCUUUCAGAUCAUGUGCAAUUUUUAUCUAACCAAUCAGAAAUACUAGUUUAAAAUGAAUUUCUAUAUGAAUAUGGAUCUGCCAUAAGAAAAUCUAGUUCAACUCUAAUUUUAUGUAGUAAAUAAAUUGGCAGGUAAUUGUUUUUACAAAGAAUCCACCUGACUUCCCCUAAUGCAUUAAAAAUAUUUUUAUUUAAAUAACUUUAUUUAUAACUUUUAGAAACAUGUAGUAUUGUUUAAACAUCAUUUGUUCUUCAGUAUUUUUCAUUUGGAAGUCCAAUAGGGCAAAUUGAAUGAAGUAUUAUUAUCUGUCUCUUGUAGUACAAUGUAUCCAACAGACACUCAAUAAACUUUUUGGUUGUU
rnacentral:lncRNA from 1 species